UAGGGAAUCUUCGGCAAUGGACGAAAGUCUGACCGAGCAACGCCGCGUGAGUGAAGAAGGUUUUCGGAUCGUAAAACUCUGUUGGUAGAGAAGAACGCUGGUGAGAGUGGAAAGCUCAUCAAGUGACGGUAACUACCCAGAAAGGGACGGCUAACUACGUGCCAGCAGCCGCGGUAAUACGUAGGUCCCGAGCGUUGUCCGGAUUUAUUGGGCGUAAAGCGAGCGCAGGUGUUUAUUAAGUCUGGUGUAAAAGGCAGUGGCUCAACCAUUGUAUGCAUUGGAAACUGGUAGACUUGAGUGCAGGAGAGGAGAGUGGAAUUCCAUGUGUAGCGGUGAAAUGCGUAGUAUAUGGAGGAACACCGGUGGCGAAAGCGGCUCUCUGGCCUGUAACUGACACUGAGGCUCGAAAGCGUGGGGAGCAAACAGGAUUAGAUAGCCCUGGUAGUCCAC
rnacentral:rRNA from 1 species